rnacentral:rRNA from 1 species
GACGAACGCUGGCGGCGUGCCUAAUACAUGCAAGUCGAACGCAGUGGGGACGGUUGAGGAACACGUGGGUAACCUCCCAUCAGAGGGGAUAACACUUGGAAACAGGUGCUAAACCGAUACUGAUGGCUGAUCCCGCGGUGCAUUGGAUAGUUGGGGGGGUAACGGCUCACCAAGGCAACGAUGCAUAGCCGAGCUGAGAGGAGGAUCGGCAACACUGGAACUGGGCAACGGCCCAGACUCCUACGGGAGGCAGCAGUGGGGAAUCUUCGGCAAUGGACGAAAGUCUGACCGAGCAAUGCCGCGUGAGUGAAGAAGGUUUUCGGAUCGUAAAACUCUGUUGUUGGAGAAGCGGUAUCUAACGAGAAAGCCACGGCUAACUACGUGCCAGCAGCCGCGGUAAUAC